rnacentral:rRNA from 1 species
UACGGAGGGGGCUAGCGUUGUUCGGAAUUACUGGGCGUAAAGCGCGCGUAGGCGGACCUGCAAGUCGGGGGUGAAAGCCCGAGGCUCAACCUCGGAACUGCCUUCGAUACUGCGGGUCUCGAGUCCGGGAGAAGUGAGUGGAAUUCCGAGUGUAGAGGUGAAAUUCGUAGAUAUUCGGAGGAACACCAGUGGCGAAGGCGGCUCACUGGCUCGGUACUGACGCUGAGGUGCGAAAGCGUGGGGAGCAAACAGGG